CCUACGGGAGGCAGCAGUGAGGAAUAUUGGUCAAUGGCCGGAAGGCUGAACCAGCCAUGCCGCGUGAAGGUCAGUGCCCUAUGGGCGUUAAACUUCUUCUGUGCGGGAGCAAUAAUGGUCACGUGUGGCCAGACGAGAGUACCGUACGAAUAAGCAUCGGCUAACUCCGUGCCAGCAGCCGCGGUAAUACGGGGGAUGCAAGCGUUAUCCGGUUUUAUUGGGUUUAAAGGGUGCGUAGGCUGUGAGGUAAGUCAGCGGUGAAAUGCCUCCGCUCAACGGGGUGAAGUGCCAUUGAUACUGCCUGGCUGGAAUGCGGAUGCCGUGGGAGGAAUGUGUGGUGUAGCGGUGAAAUGCAUAGAUAUCACACAGAACACCGAUUGCGAAGGCAUCUCACGAAUCCGCGAUUGACGCUGAUGCACGAAAGCGUGGGUAUCAAACAGGAUUAGAUACCCCUGUAGUC
rnacentral:rRNA from 1 species